AUUGAACGCUGGCGGCGUGCCUAACACAUGCAAGUCGAGCGGUAACAGGUGUAGCAAUACAUGCUGACGAGCGGCGGACGGGUGAGUAACGCUUGGGAAUCUGCCUGUUAGUGGGGGACAACCCGGGGAGACUCGGGCUAAUACCGCAUACGCACUACGGUGGAAAGCCGGGGACCGCAAGGCCUGGCGCUAACAGAUGAGCCCAAGUCGGAUUAGCUAGUUGGAGGGUAACGGCCUACCAAGGCGACGAUCCGUAACUGGUCUGAGAGGACGACCAGUCACACCGGAACUGAGACACGGUCCGGACUCCUACGGGAGGCAGCAGUGGGGAAUAUUGGACAAUGGGCGAAAGCCUGAUCCAGCGACGCCGCGUGGGUGAAGAAGGCCUGCGGGUUGU
rnacentral:rRNA from 1 species